rnacentral:lncRNA from 1 species
CCGCCAUCUGUUGAUAUCUUCCUAAUCUGUAUCUUCAAAAUAGACUUCUAUUUCAGACUUGUAUAAUUUAAUGGGAAGCAGAUGUCUCACAGACACCUCAAGCUCAACGUCCUGUUCCCACCCUCUCACUUUCUAUUGAAACUGUCUCUGCUGUCUGUACUCCCUUCCUUGUUCUUUUGCACCUGGACUAGACAGAAGACUACAGUUCAAUAAGAAGGAAACACAUUCAUUUUCAGUAUUGUUAAUAAAGAAGCUUACCUAAAAGAAGGAAAUCAAAACAAGAUAAUCUACACUGCAACUAGGGGAGGCUAUUGAAUGUGAUGGUCCCCUCAGAUGCCUAGAGGAAGAUGAACAAUGGUAAUCAGAUAUCCUAAAGUUAUCUUUAGGGCACUGGCAAAAUAGCAGCAAUGCCUGGUGGAAGCUGACUUUGUGCAUACACAUGAGAGCCCACAGAAAACUUCAAACUUCAUGGAAAUAAAACCUUCAGCUGCAGCUAAGAAUUUGGAGGUUACUGAAGGAGGUUACUUUUUCAAGAGCAGAAGUAAGGAUUCCACUGAAUUUGCUCACCAAAGAUAAGUCAGCAAAGAAAACUUACUGAAGAAUACAGACAGCAUAUCAGCUCCUGCUUUCCAGACAAACUUCCUGGGUCUUGGGAAGAAGAAAGCCUCAGACUAAGAACUCUCUCUGGACUCAGACAGCCUGAAUUCAAAUCCCAUCUCUAUUCUUACUAGUCAUAUGAACACAGGAGAACCAUAUCCAUUCAGCUCACUUUGGACCACCUGUGGAGCCUGAUAACCAGGGAACAGAGAACCUGUUGAGAUCCAAAUUUGUGUGCCAGAUCACAAACUCAUCUGAAGCAGAUGCCACGUGUUACACUGUUAUGUCUCUCAGAGACUCCAGCACUUUGAAAGUAUUAGGCCUUGCUUAUUGAGAUGAAUAUUUUUUUCUAGGCAUGUCCCAAAGUUCUCAGCAUAGCUACAACCCUGAUUUUCACAGGAUUUUCAUUAAAAUUAGGUUCUAGAGCAUUACUUCCCUAAUGUGCAAUGCAACUUACGUUUAGUUUUCAAAUCAAAAUUAGUUUUGUUUUUCCACUGUCUUUGUCUUUGAAAAUAUUGAACUUGGGAUUUCCAAAAUUAUAAUUAGCAAUUAUUUUUACAUAUCUUUUAUAUACAUAACUUUUACAAUGGCUGCCAUUAUCAUGUAGGUUCUUAGGAAGUGUUUCUGAUCCUUGUAAAUAAAAGUGAAAGAAGAAAUCUUUACUGCUUGCUGACCCAUGUGACUAACCUUGAAAUCAGAGAGGCAGAUUCAUUUAAAACAAACUUGCAAACUGUUAAGCAAAGUACUGAAUCUCUGUGACUUGACCAAAAGUAAUUCAGACUUGACUAUUCCAGGCUCCCUUCUAUCUCUGUAGCAACCCAUGCAUCAUAGACUCCAGUUGCAAUGGAUGGUCAAGGAAUCUGCUGUGCCUUUUGAGUCUCUCCAUUUUAUAUUGCCAAAUUUAUCUUCCUUUAAUACUUCACUUCACAUAAGACACUAAGAUAAACAAGGAUGCAACUCACUUAUAUUUCAAAAUAGUACCUAGUGGUUAAAAGUACUUGUUCUGAAAGCAACUCUAUUUUUCUAGUUCUAACAUGUCUCCAACUAGUUAUCUCACCUUGAGCUUGGCACAUAAUCACUCCAUCUUACUUUUGCAUCUGUGACACAAGAAAAAUACCACCCACCUCAACAUAGAUCUUAUGAAGAUUAAAAUAAGAUUAUGAAAGUAAAAUGCUCAGCACAAUGUCUAAACGAAAAUAAAUGCUCAGCAAGUAGGAGCUACUAUAAUUAUUAUCCAGAUCAAAUAUUUUCUCCUCUAUGAAGCUUUCUUAUUCUUCCCCAGCUGGAAUUACUUAUUUUCUUCCUUGCUUUCUACACCACACUUUAGUCACCACCAUGCUGGCACUUGUCUCACCGCAUUAUAAUUAUUUAUGUGCCUGUGUUCCAUAACCAGAAUAUGGGACUUAAGCUUCUUUAUACCUCCAGCAUAAUUGUUUCAUGUGUGCUUUUAGGUAAUGGAGUAAAAUGGAUGAAUGAGUGAAUGCGACUAUAGUACUAAAUGCUCUUAGAUAAAGAUGUAAUUAUUCUUAAGUGAUAAAAUUAUUCGAACAUGAGUAGUUCAGAUAAUGAGAGACUGUCAUAGAAUUACUUGAUAAAAUCUAGUCAAUAAAAUGGCUUGGCAAUAUAACCUUUAUGAUUUCUUUAAACAAUCAUUCAUUUCUUUCUGAAGAUGAGAAGAGGAGAUUCCUUCUCCCAUCUUUAUAUUUCAACAAUGAUUAGAAAACAAAUUGAUCUCUGGGAUCAGUGCCCAAUACCAUUAAAGUGGUAUACAUCUUACAAUUCUUAAUUAAUUUGUGGCAUACAUAUACCAGUCUCCACAGCCAGCUUCAUCUGCAUACAGCAGCAUAAUCACUUUUUUCCUUAUAGUAAAGACAUAUUAUGAGUCAUCAAAGUCUUCUCCGGGGGUUGUGGUUAUCAUCUGGUAAUCACACCCUUGGGAGGUUAAAAACACUUAUCUUUGGAUCAUGACUUGCAAUGCCCCAGGGGUGUGAUUAUCUCAGGCAACUCACACUUUCUGUCAUGCCUAAUUGCUUAAUUAUUAUAGCUGCAAGUUCACACCACCAUACAGGAACUCAUGUUGUGUCAGCAUUUCCACUAUAAAUUCCUUUUUCAAGAGUCUAUAACUCAGCCAUAAAAAAAAAAAAAAAAAAAACCUAUGGUCCAUUGAAGCACUGCAGUAAGAGUCUUAUUCCAGGAAACAUUUCUGUAAUAGGUUAAUUGUAUCUUAAAAAUUGGGUCCUGAUUCUCAUAGUUAGUUCACCAAAGAAAUAAAUGCUAAUUAAAUGUCUCUAAAUUAUAUAUUUUUCUGUAUGGCUGGGUAAAUAAUGUAAAUCCUAAAGACAUAAAUAUUAUUUUUUAAAUAUAACAAGAAUGGCUCAUACAAUUUCCAGUUUUUUGGAAAUACACUUACACAUAUUUAUAAAAUAUUAUAUAAGUAGAAUGAGCUAAACCAUAGUUAGAGAACAUUGUCAUAUGCAAUCAUGUACUACAUAAUAUUUCAGUCAGUGGACAGCAUGUGGCAGUGGUCACAUAAGAUUAUAACGCAGCUGAAAAAUUCCUGUUGUCUAAUGACAUCAUGGCUGUCAUAACUGUCAUGGCCGUCAUGGCCAUCUGAACAUUGUAGUACAAUGUAUUCCUCAUGUGUUUGUGGUGAUGCUGAUGUAAACAAGCAUCUGCACUGCCAGUUGUAUAAAAGUGUAGCACAUACAAUUAUGUACAUACAAUUAUGCACACACAAUUAUGUACAACACAUAAUAUUUUAUAAUGACAAUAAACAAUUUUGUUACCGGUUUAUGUAUUCACUGUACUAUACCUUUCAUCAUUAUUUUAGAGUGUACUCUUUCUACUUAUAUAUAAAAAAAAGUUAAUUGUAAAACAGCCUCUAGCAGGUCCUUCAGGACAUAUUCCAGAAGAAGGCAUUGUUAUCAUAGGAGAUGACGGUUCCAUGCGUGUUAUUGCCCCUGAAGACCUUCCAGUGGGUCAAGAUAUGGAGGUGAAAGACAGUGAUAUUGAUGAUCCUGACCCUGCGUAGGCCAAGUUUUCUUGACUUCACUUAAUCUGCUGGAAGCUGAUCCUUUUCAUGUCCAUGUUUAAGGAAGCGUUGAAGGUCACGUCACUCAAAGCCAACAUCAGCAGGCAUCCUACCAAGAUAAUCUCUGAAGAGGUCAGAGGUGAGAAUGACACAGAGAAGAGGCAGAUUUUACCAGUCCAGUUCAAGGAAUUUCUCACUCUUUCUUAUAAGGGAACUCUUUUCAAUAGAAAAGGAAAGGUUGCCAGUAAAAAGACAAUGGAAUUCCUUCCAUUUUAUGUAGAUUUAUUUUUUUUCAUGAGAAAAAGGAAUAAAGCAUUUAUUUUCUCAGUGUUUUAAGGGAAG